rnacentral:tRNA from 1 species
GGAGAGAUGUCUGAGUGGCUUAAAGAGCACGCCUGGAAAGUGUGUGUACGGUAAAACGUACCGAGGGUUCGAAUCCCUCUCUCUCCG